UUGCUGCUUCACUUAAUUAAUUUGAUACAGCAGUAGCAAUACAGGGAUAUUACAUCUACAGAAGAGACAGGAAUGCCUAUGGAGGAGGUGUUGCUGCAUAUAUUCAGAGCUAGAUUCAUGUAAAGGUUAGCGAGGAUCUCAUGUCUACUGUUGAAGUGUUGUGGUUGCAGGUUCACCUUAUCUAAAUCAUAUUUUAGGGUGCUGCUCUAGGCCACCAAGUGCUAAGUCAGUAUCUGGAUAAUGUGUGACAUGCUUGAUAAUGUGUGAUGUUAAGAGGUCUAUUUUGUUUGGGGGGGGUGACCUGAUUUAGACUGGUUUUCAUCGAGCUAUCCACUCGAAGAGGAAGCUUCUUACUGUAACCAGUGCCUGUAAUCUGGCUCAGGUGAUCAAUCAACCUGCCAGAGUAUUUACAAACAGUACAGGAUCUACAUCAUCCAAGUGUAUUGGUCAUAUCUUUACUAAUGCUGCAAAACUUUGUUCUAAAGCUGUAUCCACACCCAAUGGACGUAGUGGCUAUAUCCAGAAAAGCCGAGGUUCCAAAGGCUGGGCCUAAAAUAGUGUAUAAGAGAUCCUACACAAGAUUUUCUAGUGACGCCUAUGUUGAAGAUUUGUUGGUUUGUGUGUAAUGAGGAGCAUCCAGACGCUGCACUUGAUGUAUUUAUGAAAUUGUUUCUUCCAGUUAUCAAUAAGCAUUAGUGGUGUAACGGACCGUAGUUGAUCCGUGAUCACCCCCACCCCACAGUUCGGCACACAUGUGAACCGCGGAUCAAUUGCAAAGUUCAACCACGUUAGUGUGGAAUACAGUUUUACUGCCGCUGUUACUUAAAAAAAAAGAAUUCCCUACAUCUUGAUGCAGUGAAAGGAUAGACAAGACAGAUGCGUGCUGUGUUUUACUGACGCAUGAAGGUUGAUUUGAUUUUUUUUUUUUUAAGCAGUUGUGUGUACUAUUCACGUGAACGGGGCAUGUUGAAUCCCAACGAAUCAAUCCUGGAUGCUCGCGUUGCAAAAAGCAAAGAAGAAAAAGAGCAGUGACAGCCAUGGAGCUAGCGGAGGAGCUGAAGAACUGGAAAAGCCUCCCGCUUCAUUUAAGUCUCAUGUAUGGGAGCAUUUUGGCUUCCCUGUCAAAUAUGAUGACGGAAGAAGGGUGGUGGACAACACCAUUACGGUGUGCAGGUGUUGUGCCACAAGAAAGCCGUAUGAACAUGGAAAUGCAUUGAGCAUGGCCACACAUUUAAAGUGUCAUCACCCUGUUGUCAGUGACGGAAGCCAACUCAGCCAAGAGACAACUUCUCACCACGGAAUUUAAGCAGCCUUUUGCUGCAGAGUCACACCGGGCUAAAGCCACCACCAAAUCUAUUGGGAUAUUUAUCGCUGCAGACGUGAGGCCAUACUCUGUUGUAGAAAACAAAGGGUUUAAAAAUAUGGUGAAAGUGCUUGAGCCAAGCUAUGAAAUCUCCUGGCGUAACCACUUCAGUAUGAAGAUCUUGCCAGAUCUUUAUGAACAGGAAAAUAUCAAAAUUGUCGACUAAUUAUCCAAGGCAUCCUCUGUUGCCCUCUCCACAGACGGGUGGACCUCCAGGGCAACGGAAAGCUACGUGACUGUGACUGCUCAAUACACCACAGAGGAGUGGGGGAUACGAAGUCCGGUGCUACAGACACGUCGCACAGGCACAUCUGGCGCAGGUACUGCUCGGAGCAGUAGCAGAGUGGAAGCUAGAGAGGCCCAAUGGCAAUAUCUCAACCACCACAGAUGAUGCCAAGAACCAAGUAAAUGCAGUGAUAGAGGCUGGACUGGGGCCAUAGCUGGCUUGCUUUGCACAUGUGAUCAAUUUGGCAUCCUAAAGGGGAAUCUCAGUGAACCAGAUGGACCGCCUCCUUGGGAGGAUCAGGAAGUUGGUGGCUUCCUUUUUCCACCGACGCACAGCAGCCGCUCGUGCUUAAGACCAAGCAAGAAAUGCUACAGCAACCGACCCACAAGAUCAUACACAAUGUCACAACAAGAUGGCGCUCCAACAUGUCAUAAGUGGAGUUCCAUCUUGAGCAGCAGGCAGCUAUAUAUUCUGCACUGACAGACAAGACCCUGAAAAAAAAGACAUCUUCACCUUGUCUGAUAACAUCAAAGUGGCAGAGGAGGUCCUCCAGGUGCUCAAACCCCUCAAAACGGUUCCAACCCUAUUGAGCACUGAAUCUGCACUGUCUGUGUCCAUGAUCCGAACUCUGAAAACAAGGAUUCUACAAUCGAUGGGCCCAAGUGAGGAAGACUGCACCAUCACUAGAGAUAUCAAGGCUGCCAUAAGAGGACCUGAACCCCAGAUACCACCCCCCCUAAUGUACAGGACUACCUUCCUUCAUAGAUGGGGCGGUAGGUAGCCUAGUGGUUAGAGCGUUGGACUAGUAACCAAAAGGUUGCAAGAUCAAAUCCCUGAGCUGACAAGGUAAAAAGUUAAAUAAAGGUAAAAUAAAAAAAAUAGAUCUACUGCACUGGAUCCAAGGUUCAAGUCCCUGUCUCACCUAGACCCUGCCCUACAUCGGAGGACAUAGUGAUCUCACCACUGAGAUUGUGGCCACUGAAGAGGGUCAAGCCACAGAGCUGACAGGAGCAGACUCAGAGGCAUCUCCGCCACAAAAUAAUUUGGCCAUGAAGGAGCUUUUCGGGGAGACCUUUGCGAGCAAGGACACAGGCAAGACGUUUGCCAACACCAUCGAAGAGGUGGCAUCCUACAAGGCAGCAAGCGGCAUUCCCACUGGCAUGGUGGAAAAGCAAUGAGUGUAAAUACCCUCACAUUGCCAUGAUGGCAAGAGGUUACCUGACUGUGCCUGGCACUCAGUUCCUAGCUAGCGGGUGUUCUCCACAGCAGGGGACAUAGUGACUGCAAAGAGGUCUACCCUCUCCCCAGACAGUGUAGACUUCAUCUUUUUGAAAAAUAAUUAAGUUAUUAGCUCAGGUCUGCUUUGCUUUCUUUCUUUACUUUUUUUUUUUAAGAGGACAGGUUAUUUUUUUUCAUUCACUAUUGUUCCAAGGAAGAAGGUAUCAUGCACUUUGCACUUUAAUUUAACAAUUGAGUGUUGAAUAUUUUAUUUUAAUAUUUUAUUUAAACAUUGAAAAGUUACUUGCUUCAAGUGUUCUUUAAGUAAUAAAGGGAAAGCAAAGUUA